rnacentral:rRNA from 3 species
AAACGACUCUCGGCAACGGAUAUCUCGGCUCUCGCAUCGAUGAAGAACGUAGCGAAAUGCGAUACUUGGUGUGAAUUGCAGAAUCCCGUGAACCAUCGAGUCUUUGAACGCAAGUUGCGCCCGAGGCCUCCGGCUGAGGGCACGUCUGCCUGGGCG